AAAGCGGUUCAUUGUAAAACAGAAAAUAAAAGUGUUGUACAAAAUUAAGUUGGGGUACAAUGUAUCAUUAACCAUCAUGGUGCUGAUGAAACAUUACUUGAAAAUAGACAUAACGCUCCGUACUGAAUUGUUCGCGUUGUACGUAAUUGAUUGCAUGCGGUAACGUGGGUAUAUUUACGGCACUUCAUUAAUUGCAAACGACUUCGGACGUUCUAGAUUACCGACGAAAAUAACCAACGUCGAGGGUAUUAAUAAAAAACGAACUGAUAUUACGAAAACACAAUUCUGCGACACUACAUUCUAUUGUAAAUAAUUUCCAGCCUGAAGACUUACUGACGAAAAUAAGUCAAAAAAAACGCAAGAAAAACUAUAACGGAGUUAAAAAGGCUCACUAGGAUAACUGCAGCUUUAACGGGACAGGGAAACUCGUUAGGAGCCCUAUAGUGUUUAUAUUGAAUCACACGAGCUAUUUUGAAAAUUUGCAAUUACGUAGCGCAAGAUAGUUAUAAUUACGCCGCACGGACACCGAUGAAAAUGGCCGGGAUUCGGCGAGGGAGCUGCAGCGAUGAAGGGACUCGUUAGGAGUAUCGUGGCCCUACAGUCGAUAAUUCGAGACGAUUAUUGGUCCGCAAAUGCGGCCAUUGCGGCCCGACGAUGGAAGGAUACGUGUAAUUUAAUCGAAGCCCGAUCCUCGCGACCGAUAAGGGAACGCGACUUCCUGCACCCGCGCGAUUACGGUUAUUAGCCGGGAAACAAUUGAAGUAAUGGACUCGAGUUCGAGGUCCGAUGAAUUAUUCCUCCUUGUAGUUUUUUUAAACGAGUUACCGCAUCGAUUAUCCGGAUCGCACGAAGGAGACGCGUUUCGCCUCGUUCGUGCUCGAUCAAUGGGGAAUUUCGACAGCAAUUGCCUCGUAAACCUCUCAGCUAGGAGUUCAUCAUCUACACCGAGAAACGUUAGCUGAAUACAAUAUUGCGGCGCUAGUACAGUUUCGAGCUUCCGAUGCCGCGGGAUCGCGAGGAUCAUCCUUCGAGCUCGUCCUUGCGCGUCGGAAGUGGGCCAGUAUGAAAUCGCGAAGUACACGCACCUAGUCGGAGACUAUGACAAUUGCUCUGAAAAGUAAAUCUCAUUAAUGCACAGUGGCUGAGUUAUCGCGGACCGGCGAUGGAAAACAUAUUGCGAGUCAACGAAACACUCGAUAUUGUCACGCGACGUCAAACAAGAUUUCCGAUCGAUCGGAUCAUUGAUCCAUACUGGAAUCAGACGGGAUUCCCAGUCGAGAUUGGAUUACUACGCCGGAAUCAAACGAGAUUCCCGAUCGGAUCCACUCAGAAACGCGUAUUGCAACAUUUCAUACGAAUUCACGUACUUACGCGCUAGGUUUAUUCAACGUCACCCUUAAUUGUAUCUCUAAUUAUGUUUAGUCGUACACUGUUCUAUGGUCUAUGGCACUUGGUGCGACUAACUCUCACACUUACGAUUCGAUUACGCUUAUGUGAGAUACUUACACAUACGACACGUGAUUAUAACUGAUUCUUUCGUGCGCUUUCGUAUAAUACAGGCAUAUUCACCAAUUAGGUGCUUCUCACAGACUCGACUGAUCGGUUCAAUAUGGCUGACGGUGUUUUUGGCAGAUUUGCUGAAUACAUUAUUCAUUUUACCUUUCUUUUAUCCGAAACGCUCUAGUUGAGUGAUAUCAAUUUCUCGUUUCGUGCAAUGCAGGUGAAUCAAUGGUGCUCACUAUUCAAGUGAGUUCGGAUAUAAAAUGGGAAAAGGUUCACGAAAUUCGUAGAGUGUUCAAACCUACUCUUCAGGGAGCUAAUAAGUGAUUGUUUACCAUGCGAAUGCACCAACGAAAUUAGUUUCUAUUAUUCGAGGAUAGUACAUGAAACCGUUUCAAACUCUCAUACGUGCACAUUUAAAUUACCUUGGACCUUUUAUCCAGUAAGGAAAUAAUCGAUUGCUUGAAAUAUAAAUGUUUAUAACGACUUUAAUAUUUAAUUCGAAUUUCUCGAUCCAAUCUAUCGUUUGGCCAUUUUCUUUUUAAUCGUGGGGCUAAUAUGUUGCUCAACGCCUGCUAGUCACCUGUUAAAAAGAAUGUAUUCUUUAGAUACAUUGUAGACUCUAUGGGUAAAAAAAUUACGUUGCCUGCAUCGCCUUGAAUAAGAUACUCUUUAGUAAUAAAGCAAGUUCUUAUCUACCUUAUCAUUUACGCAUUACAUUAUUUAUACAUACAUCUCUUAAGUACAGCGACUUGAAAAUACGACGUGCGGUAAUGCCAUUACGUCGAUGGAAUUAUUACGCACGUGCAAAAGACGUUUAGCAAUUUCGGUGCAUUUUAUUGUAUUGGCAUUAGCGUUUAUUUUGCUGUGUUCAUUGACGAUUCUUGCCGACAUCCUAUCGCGUUUCAUAUCCCGUCACUUUAAACCAUGCCUCUUGAGGACGAUAUUAAUGUGCAAAAUGUAAACUUUCUAUAUCCGCAAUUUACAUAGCCUUUAAUAACCAACUUAAGAAGAAACAACAUUUCUGGCGUUGGUUCUAUAAGUAUUUCCGGACACAAAAAUAUAGCCCCUCGAUCAUCUAAAUAACAUCAUAAAUAACUGAUUUAAACUCCACAAGUGAAAUAUUUACAAUUGACAAAUAUAAUAUAACACAUAUCAAGUACCUCCUCGUCCAAAAAUCAUUCCGGUAAAUAAAUAAUGGAAUAAUAAUUCCCGGCAUGGAAUAAAUGGAAACCGAUCGAUAUUCGACGUUCCUAGUUAAACACUCAAGUAAAUUGCCUUUGUCCCAUUUUUUUUCGCUAUUUCAAGGUUUUCUUAAAAAACAUUUAAGAGGCAGAUCGGUCUCGAGGAGCCAACACGAGGAAUGCCGUUUCAUCUCGGAUGACUCGCUAGAUACUUAACGUAUUAAUUGAAGCCGCGCUUUAAGAAAGGCCAAAUGAUUAAUGGAACUCUCGUAUCGAAGGCGCAAACAUUUGCUUCCUUUCGGCCCCUUAAAGCGCUUCCCAAAAAUCAUUCUAAAUUAAUGAACGUAAGGCGUUCUAUACGAGCCGCUCCACGCGUCCUUUUUCACGCUCAGGAGAUAAAAGGUCGCUAUCUAUAGGCCACUCCUCGAGGAGUCCUACGUUAGUUUGUGCACUGUAAAUUUCCCCACCUAUGAAUACAUAACAGUCAAUUCCUACGCCGACCACGCGGGGCUACCAUUAUUUCUAUGGUAACGCGACAGGAAGGCGCGCCACCAUUUUCAUCCCUCCAGAAAGCUCCGAAGCUUUCGCCAACUCGCUCCAACUUUAAGUUCUCCAGUAUCGCGAUGAAAAGCACACACAACGCUUAUCGUGGAAACAUAAGCUGUACAUACAAGUAUAUUCAGGCUGGGCCACCAAACUUGCUCACCUCGGUUAAAACUGCAUUCCAAGGAAAAGUUGCUUCCUUCGAAGACAGUCGCACCUUGAGCGACAUCGUUAUCAUACAAUUGCCAGAUUACUCUUUUUCUCUUUCCCCGAAAAUUUUUUCUCCCACUUCUCUUUCUUUCCGUCUCUCGACAUUUGACAGUUUGCAAAACUGUUUUCGAUAAGCUAGUGGAAUAACUAAACGGAGCACCUUGCGUUUUGUGCAGAUAGGCUUCAUUUUCGCAACGGGGUUCAGGGUUUCCGAUAGGGACAUGCCAUGUUACAUACAUUGCUGUUAAAGAACGCAUAUCUAAUGGGAUAACCACUUCAGAGAUCACGCAAUAAUAUUUAACGUGCAUGUCGACGUUGCAAUAAUUGCGUUCGCCAUGGAAAGUGCUUCUUUCUCCCUUGGGAUGCAUUUUAAUGUUUGACGAUUCCUCCGUUUGACAGUCAUUACCAAUUUAGUAUCGCAGAAGACAUGAGUAUGGGAACGUUAUAAAUAAAAAGAAAGAAUAUCAAUUUCGAAAAAGGGUGUGUUGAAGCAAUUGAACUGACGAAUUUCAAACUCACUACGCUAUUUUACUGUAUAUGUCUAGAUAUUUUUUAAAGUAUGCUCCUUUUCUAUGGGAUUACGGCACAAAUAAUGAGAAUUGCCGACGCAGGGAGUACAAUUCUAAAUUUGGAAUUUCCGGCGAUUUUUCUAAUCGAAAGACUUUUAAUUCGCCGAGUUCCUACGCAGACCUUUUAUUUAAUUAACAUAUGGACGGAGGAAAGUUCUUUUCUCAUCGAAGUAUAACAAUUACGGAAUGAAACAGUUUCUGGCGAAACAAUUUGUUCCUAAAUGGAAAAGUUUUAACGGAGGUGCCCAACCUUAUAAUAAUUUACGUAUAUUUACAAUCAUACUCGAAACUUCCCACUUUCGUUUCACGUAUACCUUAAUUUGGGUAAAAUGCUUGGCGGUAGAAUACGCUUGGGAAUCAUACAAAUUGAGUGUAUUGGCACCCUUCAAUGAUAAUAAUCUACAAGUAUCUACGAUUAAUCAUCAUUUAUACAAACACAGUCCCGUUCAAUGCGAUUUAAAAGCUAUAACAGCUCGAUUUCCGAAAUCGCACUGAAGCUUCAUGAAUCUUCCCAUUCACAGUUACAUCACUUAUUUUACACGAAAUUCAUUAUUUCUAUACAGUAGCAGUAUUGUCGGCAGUCAUACAAAAAUCAACCGGAUUAAAUAUUUGAUCUUUACUUCGCUACGAUACAGGAUAUUUUUCUGCAGAGUGAUAAAAUCGAAAUUAAUUGCACACAAUUUCGAGUAUCUAGCCUUUAAUACAACGUAAACAUUUAAUGGUAAUGUCGGAAAUUCCAUUUUAAGGGCAGGAGGUGAAUUUAAACUUACGUGAUAUUUUCAUUUAACUUUCAUUCAUUUAUGUUAAAUGAACGAUUAACACAUAUUUGGAGAAUACCACGCAGGUAUAAGAAGCCACUACAAAGCACAAAGUAGAUAUUGAUUACGUACUGAACUCUAUGUCAAAAAUAUAUCUCCAUUGAAACAUUCUAUAUAUUUAUAUACAAUGUUGUGUUUACCUUGCUUUUACCUUAGUUUAAAGAAAAUUCUGCCGACGUAUCUAAGUGCAGCGAUAAUGAUCAAUCACCUGCUGUAUACUUUUUCCCUUCAAACCAUUUUCCUACCUAAAGAAUGGCAUGACAGAGAGAAUUUAAAAAUAACAGCUUCCUCUCUUUGUACACGUAAUUCAGUUUCUGUGCGAUUACAAGAAUUCCGUGACAUUGAUGAAUCAAAAAUGAUAAACAUUCUCUUGUAUGUCGAAGGCCACGGGAAGUUUUGUUAGAUACAUGUACAGAAAAAAAUCGAACGUAUAAAUCUGUUUUGCAGUAAAGUACAUGGUGCAAUAAUUCCACGCGUCGCUUUACAUUGUAGGAUAUUGUAUCGCAAUUCGGUAAGGAAAUGAGAGUGAGGAGACAAGUUGAUUUUCUAAAUUUGCUUUAGCGAACGGGCAAUUUUUCAUGACGAUUCCCUGUUAACGUCAAUUUGUUAUUUACUUUGAAAUUGGUUGGAAUGAGUUGUUUUUCCUGUUUCGGAGUCCUUUAUGAGUCCAAACUUGCAAAGACUUGCGACAACCUACAUUAGACAUUAUUAUAUUAAUUACACCGUCUAAUGUAUGGGAUAGAUCCUGAAUCUCUCCAAAUUGAGCAUUUCUCUCAUUUUUCGGCCUUUGGAUAAUAUUUCGGAUCAAUAAUACGAAUGCAGUUAUCGCAAAAGAAUUUAAACUUAGAAGUGAAACGAAACCACUCGAGAGACGAAAAAUUUUCGGAAGUUCGAACUCGAGCCGAAUCGUCCGACUUGUUCGAUAUCUGAAUGUGUCCAUGCGCGAAUGCACUUAGACACGAUUUCGCUUCAAUGCAUCCGAUUAUACACGAAUGACUAAGUUCUCAGCAAAGUUAAGGAAAUUUCCGUACAGUCGGUGCAUUAUGCUUCCCUGCCCGAUUCUGGAAUUAGUGCAAGGGGUUGCAUUUCCCCCUAAGCUACUAUUCCUAAGUACAAGUUGCCGAAGAUGGAACGAUGCCUAGCAACAAUUAUAACACCAGUAAUAACGAUCGUACCAUCAACUGAACGAUUAAUUUUAUUUACACCGAUAAUCUUCCAAUAAUGUUCUGUAGACGACCGCGGAAUAUUAAAAUCGAUUGUACAUUGUUAUGAGUAAUUAUCACGACGGUAUAAUUCUGGAUGACCCGUAUUCAUAAAAUGUAUUGAAAGUAACAUUGAAAAGAGUACACGCAUGUCAAACUACGAUAAACCAAGAGACAUGGUUAUAGCAUUUUAACUUCGCAUUGUGCGUGAUUUUUUAUUACACGUUUUUAGGCGAAUUGAAAUAAAUGUUCCUAGACAGAGUAAAACAUUACCUGGGAAGGUAAUAUAGUCUCGUAGUUCAGGUUAUCGAUAUAGCGCGAAACGAAUUUCUUCAUUACAGAGGAAUGAUAAUAAUCAUUUGUUAUCUUAAUAAUUUGAGUAUGAAAUGGAUUCAGAUGCAAGUAUAUGCAAGAGGAAGUGGUAAAAAUGAAAUUAUUCAUACUUAAUAGUUUUUAGUUCUUUUAUUGUGCACAUUAGCUAUUUUACCUACACGUUUUACUACUGCCCGCAAUUUCAGGUCAUCUAAAAGACAAUGAAAAAGGGUAAUAUAUACAAAUUAGCAUUGAUUAAGAAUACAAGUUAAGUAUUGUGUCGUUUAGCUUGCAUGUACUCUUUGAAUGUCGCAUUUAACCAAUGGCUUAUGAUUGUGCUACUCGUUUUCCUAGGUUAUUCUUUCCCGUUUAAUAAAAUUUAACGUUCUUAAAAUCAUUGAAUGAAGGAUCAAACAACCAAUAUUUCUGUUUAAAUGCCGUAAUAUCAACGACACAUCGUAAAAAUUUGAGCAUAUAUUCACUGAGUAUUUGUUUGAUUAUUGUUUCAAUGUUGCAGCUAGUAAAGGUCACAACUAUCUUCAAAGAAACAAAUAUCAAAAUCAAAAGGUCCGUUGCCAAGUCAGAAUAUGUCGACAAAAUAAUUUAAUUCGCGUUAAUUAACGCAUAAGUUCAGUUUGGCCAAAAUUCAUUGUAGGGCAAACCCUCAAAGUUUAAACAUUUCUCACCGUUUCCUGUAUUUAGAGGAAAUCAGACGUAAUAACGGUGGUUACACAUUUAUACUUCGCAAUACUCAGCUAUACAUUUAAUAACACAAAUCCCGUUUCUCAAUUAACGUGUCUCUGUGUGAAUACUCUAAAUAGCACAUUCAUACAAUUUCGUAAUAAGAACACAAUCAAACGGAUCAUAUCUUUCUUUUUCCACUUGCAAGAAACACGUAAUUUGCUAUUUCCUCACACCGAACAAAAGAUUCAUUGCAGUCUUAUACGGAAUAAUGUUGCAAUUUAUAGCAACCAAAAAGAUUUAUAUGUACUACUGUUGAAGACGCUGAAAAAAAAAACCCCUCUUUAGUCAAAAUAAAUUUAACCUGGCUCCGUUAAUAAGAAAACGCUCCUAGUAAAAGGAACCCCAUUUGGAGAGGAUUUUCUUUCCAGAUAGUUUUUGUUUCCAGUUUGAAAUUUCCAUUAAAACAAAAUUAAGCACAACUUUCCCGUCUAAAAAUGCAAUAUCCGUUAAUAAGGACUAGACACUUUAAAACGAUCAGCUGCCUUGCGCGUUAUAUUCCUUCGCGAAACAUAUUACUGUCGCGUGAAACCCAUAACUCCUCUUCCUUUGACAUUAUUUGCACAUGGCCCUCGGCGUAAUCAGCAUUUUGAUUUGCGCGUUGGCGAAAUCCAUGCAAAUCUCCGAAGCCAACUCGUCUGGGCAAAAUACUACGCGACGCGAACGCAAACGAACGAGCGAAAACUUAAAGGUGCGUGAAAAGAUCACGGAAAAAAAAAAGAAAAGAAAAAAAAACAGGAUAAAAAAUAAAA